rnacentral:rRNA from 1 species
CCCAGGCGACUGUUUAGCAAAAACACAGGUCUCUGCAAAACCGUAAGGUGACGUAUAGGGGCUGACGCCUGCCCGGUGCUGGAAGGUUAAGAGGAGUGCUUAGCUUCGGCGAAGGUACGAAUUGAAGCCCCAGUAAACGGCGGCCGUAACUAUAACGGUCCUAAGGUAGCGAAAUUCCUUGUCGGGUAAGUUCCGACCCGCACGAAAGGCGCAACGAUCUGGGCACUGUCUCAACGAGAGACUCGGUGAAAUUAUAGUACCUGUGAAGAUGCAGGUUACCCGCGACAGGACGGAAAGACCCCGUGGAGCUUUACUGCAACCUGAUAUGGAAUGUUUGUACCGCUUGUACAGGAUAGGUAGGAGCCGAAGAGACGUGUGCGCUAGCAUACGAGGAGGCAAUGGUGGGAUACUACCCUGGCUGUAUGACCAUUCUAACCCGCCACGCUUAGCGCGUGGGGAGACAGUGUCAGGUGGGCAGUUUGACUGGGGCGGUCGCC